UUUUCUCCUCAACCAAUGCUACUCAAAUACCUGCUUUUAGGUAAACCAUGACUGGCAGUGUGCCUUAGUGGGUAGAGACUUAGCUUCAGAGUCAGGAAGACACCUGGGUUCACAUGGUUCCUCCCGGGUCAAGUGCUUUAGUCUCUCAGUGGCCCCAAGCAGGUCUCUGGGAUAACAAUAAACAGCAGGGAAGAUUGGGGCCUGCUCUGGGAGAGGGGGUUGUUUUCACCAGGGAGCUCUGUAGACUCAGGAAGUCAUGAGGCGGGGUCAAUCUCGAGCCCUUCCUGACUGUCACUGAAACCACUGCAGAGAAUCACAAAUACCAUCUUCCUUCUGCAGGGUUACAAAGAGAAGAAUAAAUUCAUGGCUGCUCAAGGCCCCAAACAGGAGAUGGCCAGGGACUUCUGGAGGAUGGUCUGGGAGCAGAAGUCAGAGACCAUUGUCAUGCUGACCAACUUGAAAGAAAGAAAAAAGGCUUUGGCUCUUCCAGCUUUGUUUCGGGUGCCACCCUGGCAGCAUGGAGUAAUCUAAUGCCCCUACUUCUAGAUGGUGACGACCCGUGACAUGGACUCUCACUGCCUUUCUUCUCCAGGAGACUCUUCC